GGGGGCGUUUGGUAUUGACAGCAUAGAUCUUUGAAAGUGUAAGCAUGUUCUGCGUUGCGUAAUUAGCAGGCUAAUCUGAAUACGCAAAACUCAAAUGGCAAUACUCAGUAUGCCAUGGCUGCCUAAUCAGUGAUUAAGUAGUCAUUAGGGCCGCCGGGCAGGUUCGCUUGUUUCCAUGCUCCGCCGCCGACUUAAAACAAAACAAGAUGCUGUCCCGAUAUGAAGUAAUCGGGACUUAAGACAAUUCUUCUAAGGAAGUAAUCGGUUGUUUGUUUUACCUGCCGAAGCUUUUGCGUAGGCAGGUUUCCAGUUGCUUCCCGAAACACCAAAACAAAAUAAGCAUGUAGAAAGCUUUUGAAGAAUAUGUUUGGACAGGAGUUCGAUUCUCCUCGCCUCCACAC
rnacentral:tmRNA from 1 species